CCUACGGGUGGCAGCAGUGGGGGAUAUUGGACAAUGGGGGGAACCCUGAUCCAGCGACGCCGCGUGAGUGAAGAAGUAUCUCGGUACGUAAAGCUCUAUCAGCAGGGAAGAAGAAAUGACGGUACCUGAGUACGAAGCCCCGGCUAACUACGUGCCAGCAGCCGCGGUAAUACGUAGGGGGCAAGCGUUAUCCGGAAUUACUGGGUGUAAAGGGAGCGUAGACGGUGAUGUAAGUCUGGAGUGAAAGGCGGGGGCCCAACCCCCGGAGUGCUCUGGAAACUAUGUGACUGGAGUGCAGGAGGGGUGAGCGGAAUUCAUGGUGAAGCGGUAAAAUGCGUAGAUAAUAGGAGGAACAC
rnacentral:rRNA from 1 species